rnacentral:rRNA from 1 species
AGCGAAGGGGACAGCAGGCGCGCAAAUUACCCAAUGAAAACAGUUUCGAGGUAGGUGACGAGAAAUAACAAUACAGAGCAUUAAAUGUUUUGUAAUUGGAAUGGUGGGGAAUCUAAACCCCUUUCAGAGUAACAAUUGGAGGGAAAGUCUGGUGCCAGCAGCCGCGGUAAUUUCAAGCUCCAAUAGCGUAUAUUUGAGUUGUUG